CGGCCCGGCGCCCGCUCCCUGCGACCUGGGCCUCUCGUCCUCUGACGCGCCUCCCGGGCAGGGGCCUUAGGUCCGGGCCGAGGUCUCCCACUAGAGGGCCACGAUCUGCCUACGCGGCUGUCUCGCCCCAGCGGACGGCGAGCGCCUCUGGAGCCGGGACGGCGUCCUCUUCCCUCAAAUCUGGCACGUAGUGGGGCCUAGUAGGCUGCUAAACGAAAGGAAGUGAGGUGGCUGGAGCCUAGCACUUAGUAGGUGCGCCCCAAAUGUUUGGACAUUGCUGGAUCGAGGGACUUGCACACAAGCCUGGAGGUGCGGGGCACUCUGACAUGUUGCCUCUGGGGUCACCGUGACACUCGCGGUGAACAGAGUUGGAAGCCUGACAACGGGUGCCUCCCAGGGCUAGACUGCGAGACCCUGAGUUCCUAGGGAAGCUAUAACUGUGCAAGGUGAGAACUGAGAGAGGCGGGCAAAUGGCCAGGAAGGUGACCGGCAGGACCUUCCGAGAACCAGCGUACCUGGAAACGGCGGUGUGAAGGUGGCAGCUAGGUGAGAGUGUGACAGCACGGGAUGAGGCCCUGGUGAGCGCCCACUGCCAACCAUGGAGAAAUGCCUUUUGAAGAACCAGGAAAGAGACACCAAUUUGCAAAAGGGGAGGAACUAACUUUCAGCCAGGGCCUGCUGUGGCCAGGCUCUAAGCUGAGUUGAGCACUUGAGUGGGGAGUAUGUGGUGAAGAAAUGAAGGCAGUAAAAGUACCUCCUACUGGCUGAAUUCAAGAGGAAGCCUAAGGGCAAGGGAGUCCAGAUGACACUCUCCUUCAAGGUUAGCCUCUGGAGAAGGAUAGAGAGUGGAUCUGAAGGCAGAAUACCCAGCAGGUGCUCAUCAUAAUUCAUUGCACUUGUGGAUCACCCUAUAUUUAUAUGCACUGGAUCCUGGGCAAUGUUUAACUUACAACUUUUUUUCUGUGUUUAAAAGUAUUCAGCAUCCUGAAUUAAUUAACUUUCAACUAACUGAUGUGAGUUAUUGAUCCAUUUUUGUGAGCUGAAAAUAAAAUGUAACACAAUGAAA